AGUCUCUGGGAAGAGCUCCUGGAAGAUUCUCCCCAUGAUGGACUGGCUUCCCUUCUACCUCCUGCCCCUGGUUUUCUCCACAGGCUCCUGUGCUUGGGUUGUGCUGACACAGCCCCCAUCUGCGUCGGCCUCCCUGGGAGCCUCGGCCAAGCUCACCUGCACCCUGAGCAGUGCGCACAGCAACUUCAACAUUCACUGGUAUCAACAGGCACCAGGGAAGGCCCCUCGGUAUGUGAUGAAGGUUAACAGUGACGGAAGCCACAGCAAGGGGGACGGGAUCCCUGAUCGCUUCUCGGGCUCCAGCUCUGGGGCUGACCGCUACUUAACCAUCUCCAACCUCCAGUCUGAGGACGAGGCUGAGUAUUAUUGUAGUACAGGAAAUAAAAUUAAUGACCAAUUCCGUUAUACCACAGUGACACAGACAAAGGAGAAGUGA